GGUAACACCGGCAGCUCUAGUGGUAGUCUGUUUUAUUGGGCCGUAAAGCGUUCGUAGCCGGUUUAAUAAGUCUCUGGUGAAAUCCUAUAGCUUAACUGUGGGAAUUGCUGGAGAUACUAUUAGACUUGAGAUCGGGAGAGGUCAGAGGUACUCCUGGGGUAGGGGUGAAAUCCUGUAAUCCUAGGAGGACCACCUGUGGCGAAGGCGUCUGACUAGAACGAAUCUGACGGUGAGGAACGAAAGCUAGGGGCGCGAACCGGAUUAGAUACCCGGGUAGUCCUAGCCGUAAACUAUGCGGACUUGGUGUGAGGGUGGCUUUGAGCCGUCCUGGUGCCGAAGGGAAGCUGUUAAGUCCGCCGCCCGGGAAGUACGGUCGCAAGACCGAAACUUAAAGGAAUUGGCGGGGGAGCACCACAACGCGUGGAGCCUGCGGUUUAAUUGGAUUCAACGCCGGAGAUCUCACCAGCGGCGACAGCAGUAUGAUGACCAGGUUGAUGACUUUGUUUGACAAGCUGAGAGGUGGUGCAUGG
rnacentral:rRNA from 1 species